UGUGUACGAAGAAUAGGUGAAUAAAAACAAAACCAGAAUCUCAUGUAGACGCUAGAAGUGCAGUAUUUUAGCUCGAAAGCACACCAGAAUGAAUCACAAUAACGAGCCAACACUAUCUGAAGAAAGCGAAAGGCCACAUGUCGCACCGAAGCCACCGAUACCGCUGCCUAGGGAGCUUAUCUUGCUGAUUCGUACAAAACAUGAACUCGGGAGGAAACUUAGGAGGGAUGUCAAUAAUAAGGAAUUGUACCUGCAAUUUAAGGCACUGGACAGAAAUAUCCGGAAUCUGGUGAAAUUUU